ACCUUGGGUCGAAAUGAGGAUUUCGUCUAUGUGGUUAGUAAACAGCCCUCAAGGUCUUUGCUUCCUGCAAUUCUCAGUAACUUUCAGUUGUUCGGCUGUCCACGCGCACACGUAUGCUCAUGUACCCAGACCACAGGCGGGUGAGAAAAAACCCAGAGGCUGGAUUUGGAGUCUUCAACCUUUCUCCUCCCCUAUUCUGUUAACGGGCUUCAGACCUGUUUCACAUGUUUGAAAAUAUGGGGACUUCACUCUUCAAGAACUCGAGGUAGAAGUUAAUUAUGAAAGAAACGCAUUUCCAGCGUGCUAAUUUGUAUUCUUGGAACAUUCUGGAACUCAAGCAGGUUGUUGAGCUGUAACUGGGAUGCAACACUGUGGCAAGUUUAAGUGAUCUGUAGCUCACAUGCUGAUUAUCCUGCCAGGUGAUUACCACCUCAGCUCCUGCUAGCACCUCUGACGCAUCACCUCAUUACCAUCUCUUGUUUUGGUAGGAACAUUUAAGAUCCAUUCCCUUAGCAACUUUCAGAUAUGCAGCACAGUAUUAUUAGCUGUAGUCACCAAGCUGCACAUCACACCCCAGGACAUUUUAUCUUCUACCUGGAAGCUUAUGCCCUUUGACGACCUUCCCCCAUUCCGCCCACCCACACCCGGGCCUACUCCUUCCUGAGUGGCAGUAGCCGGGACUGGAGGCUUCCUUGCUGGUAUCACAGGUCCACCUGACCUGAUGGCCAGAGCCCGUGUGUGGCACUCGAGAACUGCGGCUCAGGAACGGGGCUGCACCUGCCAACCGCCUCCUCCCGGAGCAGAGCUGACCUCGCCUCCCGGAGCCAAGGUGCAGAGUAGGGCGAUGGGGUGGGGUUGCGCCGGACGCCCACUUCUGGCUCCAGGCCUGACCGAGGGGCCAGGAGCAGGUGCCCUGCCCUCCUGCAUGCUUCCCCACCGAGGCUCCCUCCUGCCCAGGUCCUUGUUCUGUCCACUGUCGCGCCGCGGACGUGCUGUUGUGUCAGUGUCACCUGCCGCGUGUGCCAUAAACCCCUCGGCUGCCUCCGGGCGAGAUGCGCAUGGCAUGGCCCCUGCACAAGUGCUAAGGGCAGUGAGGCCUGGGCCCCUGGGCUGAAGAGAACAAUCUAGAACACAGGGUGCUGAAGCCAACUUGUGCCUUUUGACAAAAACUCGCCCGGGCCAGGUAUUGGUUUCCUGUGGCUGCUUGUAAGGAAGUACCACAAACGAGGCAGCUUAGAAAUGAAUUCUCUCGUGGUCUGGAGGCCAGAAGCCUGAAGCCAAGGCGUCGGUGGGGCUGCUUUCUUCCACAAACUCCGCAGAAGAACCCGCCCCCUGUGCCGGGCUGUGGGCCGUGCGUGGCGCUCCUCAAGUGUAGACGCACCAGCACUCCACCUGCCUCCUCCCAUGGCCGCCUUUCUCUGCAUCCCUGACUUCUCGUCUUGUAAGCACCCAGGCAGUUUGGACCAGGGCCCACCCGGAUGACCCGUCUUAACUCAGUGACACCUGCCAAGACCUUAUUUCCAGAUAAGGUCACGUUCGCAGUUCUGGAAGUAGGACUUCAACCGAUCUUUUGGGGGACACAGUUCAACCCAUAACAGACCAGUAAAUAAGCUAGCUUCUUUCUCCCCUCCAUCUUCUGUCUUGUGGAUGUGUCUUCUCAGGACUGAAACCUGAAGGGCCAGGCCCCCGCUCGGAGCCAGAUGGCUUUUCUGUGGUUUAUCACGAAAACCCAAACACGACCCAACGUGUCGCUUCAGUGUGAGAAUGUGUUCCAAAUCUCAAGGUGGUAGCGUGUAGACCAAGCUGGAGAACGAGCCCUCCCCAGCCUGCCCGCUGCAGGAUGUUGGGGUGACCCGUAUGGUAUUCUGGGGGCUGGGGUCAGACUGGGUGACCAGCAGGAAGGGUCCACCUCAGACGACCGACCAGGGAACUGACGCGGUUGGCACAGGGUGUCAGAGGCGAGCCUGGCAGAGAUCUUGGGACCAGGAGGCCACAUCGGGGGCUGAGGCAUGAAGCAGUGGGGUUUGGGGCCGGGUGUCGGGGGCAGCGAUGGGGUUAAUGCAGGCGACACCAGACUGACUGUGUAGAAAGCAGCAAUGGGCUGCUGGUGGGUGCCCUAGUCCAUUGGCCAACUUCCUCUAGUUUUAGAACAUCACACCGCACCAUCACCACCUCACAAAGGGCGUGGCCCAAAUUGACCUCCAGGAUAUCACAGGCGAGAUGCGUUUGGUUUUGCCUCUGGUUUCACACUGGGUAUUUCACAAACUCGGUUUUGUGGGGUUUUUCUUGCUAGGAGAGUGAGUCUGAGCAAAUGACUGCAUCGGGCUGGGAAAGGGUUCACUUCCAGGACCUGUAAUUCACUCGUUUGUUCUUUUCAUGUUUUCAGCCACUCCUCGAUAUUCCUAUUAUUAGUCUUCCCUCCAUAUCAUGUGCGAAUGUUUUUGCAUUUCUGCCCAGGGCUGUGACCCAGAUUUCACUUAAUAGAACAGAGCACAAAGCAAGGGCUACUGCUUGUUUGCUGAAUGGUCCACGUGCACAGAUGAAAAUCUGCUCUCUCAUCCCCCUCAGCUUCCCUUGGGUUUAUUUUUCUCCUCAUUUUAUUAAUCAACUAUGAUUAAAAAACAAAAACAAAAAACCUUCACACUUUCUCCACGUGAAAUCCAGCCACGGAUUAGUGCGUUCUGAUCUCUAGGAACCCAGUGGCCACAAAGCUGGGCUGUGUAGCUCCAGUUCCUACAGUCUGAACAGAAACCAGAUGUGAGCGGUUUGGACUAGUGCGGCGAGCUGGACUCAGGGUGUCAGUGCCGAAGCGGAAGCGUCAGUGCCAGGGAGAAGCACCAGACCGCCGAUUGCAAGCCAAUGAGGCAGCUUCUGUGGGCGAUGCAUCCUCUCUCGUGAUCGUGUGCCUGUGUUUUUCAGCUUAAUUUCCAAAUGAGCUGUCAGGAAUGCAGAACUCCUUCAUCAGGCACUCUCCCCCUGUUCACAGCGGAACCUUGCCUCCCACCUGAGGGUGGACGAGCAAGUCAUUCAACACACCUGUCAAAGUGGAGCAUCUCCUUGAGAAUCUCAGGUGGAGAAUCUCAGAUGGUCAGCCCCCGAAUGUGUACUAGUAUGUUCUAAUUAAUGCACCUCACUGACGCACUGCAGGGCUUAUUUCCCUGCCAAUAAAACAGAAAACUCAGGAUACACUUUGUGGUGUAGUAGCUGUUCAGGUAAUCUUUGUCCCUAGAAC